rnacentral:rRNA from 1 species
AUUCACGCUGGCGGCGUGCCUCAUCCAUGCAAGUCGCGCGCACAGACGAGGAGCUUGCUCCUCUGACGUUAGCGGCGGACGGGUGAGUAACACGUGGAUAACCUACCUAUAAGACUGGGAUAACUUCGGGAAACCGGAGCUAAUACCGGAUAAUAUAUUGAACCGCAUGGUUCAAUAGUGAAAGACGGUUUUGCUGUCACUUAUAGAUGGAUCCGCGCCGCAUUAGCUAGUUGGUAAGGUAACGGCUUACCAAGGCGACGAUGCGUAGCCGACCUGAGAGGGUGAUCGGCCACACUGGAACUGAGACACGGUCCAGACUCCUACGGGAGGCAGCAGUAGGGAAUCUUCCGCAAUGGGCGAAAGCCUGACGGAGCAACGCCGCGUGAGUGAUGAAGGUCUUCGGAUCGUAAAACUCUGUUAUUAGGGAAGAACAAAUGUGUAAGUAACUAUGCACGUCUUGACGGUACCUAAUCAGAAAGCCACGGCUAACUACGUG